rnacentral:rRNA from 1 species
AUUGAACGCUGGCGGCAGGCCUAACACAUGCAAGUCGAGCGAGCGGCGGACGGGUGAGUAAUGUAUAGGGACUGCCCGAUAGAGGGGGAUAACUACUGGAAACGGUAGCUAAUACCGCAUACUAUCGGAUAACCCAUAUGGGAUUAGCUAGUAGGUGAGGUAAUGGCUCACCUAGGCGACGAUCCGUAGCUGGUUUGGGAGGACGACCAGCCACACUGGGACUGAGACACGGCCCAGACUCCUACGGAGGCAGCAGGGGGGAAGUUGGGACAACGGGGGAAACCCUGAUCCAGCCAUCCCGCGUGUAUGAUGAAGGCCUUCGGGUUGUAAAGUACUUUUGGCUGAGAAGCGGUAUCUGCAGAAUAAGCACCGGCUAACUACGUGCCAGCAGCCGCGGUAAUUC